rnacentral:rRNA from 1 species
UAAAAUAAUUAAGGGCACACAAAGGAUGCCUAGGUAGUAAGAGCCGAUGAAGGACGUGGUAAGCUGCGAUAAGCCUAGAUAAGUUGCAAUCGAACGUAAGAGUCUAGGAUUUCCGAAUGGAGCAAUCUAUUAAGAUGGAGUCUUAAUACGAAAGAGGGAACCGCGUGAACUGAAACAUCUAAGUAACGCGAGGAAAAGAAAGUAAAAACGAUACCCAAAGUAGCGGCGAGCGAAAUGGGUCAAGCCUAAACCUUAAAUAUGUCAAGGAUACAGCCGUUGUAUUUAGGGGGUUGAGGGACAGAGUAGUGAAGAACUGUAAGAUAUUCAAUAUAGUGUAUUGAUGAAUUGGAAUUGUCUGGAAAGGCGAACCGUAGAAGGUGAAAGUCCUGUACAAGUAAAUCCUUACACAUAUAACUCUGCUCCCAAGUAACAUGGAACACGAGGAAUUCUGUGUGAAUCUGUGAGGACCAUAUCUCAUAAGGCUAAAUACUCUUACUAACCGAUAGCGCAUAGUACCGUGAGGGAAAGGUGAAAAGAACCCCUGGAGGGGAGUGAAAUAGAACCUGAAAUUGUGUGCUUACAAGCGGUCAGAGCCAGCAAUGGUGAUGGCGUGCCUUUUGGAGAAUGAUCCUGCGAGUUACGUUAAACGGCGAGGUUAAGUAUAACGGAGCCGAAGGGAAACCAAGUCUUAAUAGGGCGAUUUAGUCGUUUGGCGUAGACGCGAAACCUGGUGAUCUAAACCUGUCCAGGAUGAAGCUGUGGUAAGACACAGUGGAGGUCCUAACCCACCGCCGUUGAAAAGUUGGGGGAUGAGGUAGGUUUAGGGGUGAAAAGCCAAUCGAACCAGGAGAUAGCUCGUUCUCUCCGAAAUGCAUCUAGGUGCAGCCUUGAGUGUUCAAUUAUGGGGGUAGAGCACUGAAUGAUCUAGGGGGCGUAUUGCUUACUGAAAUCAAUCAAACUCCGAAUACCAUAAUUUAGAGCUCAGGAGUGAGACUAUGGGAGUUAACUUCCAUUGUCGAAAGGGAAACAACCCAGACCACCAGCUAAGGUCCCUAAUUAUAACUAAGUGGGAAAGGAGGUGGAGAUUCACAAACAACUAGGAGGUUGGCUUAGAAGCAGCCAUACCUUUAAAGAGUGCGUAAUAGCUCACUAGUCGAGAGUCUCUGCGCCGACAAUGUAACGGGGCUAAGUUAUAAACCGAAGCUGUGGAAUCCGUAAGGAUUGGUAGGAGAGCGUUCUGUAGGCCGUUGAAGGAGAAGGGUAACCGACUCUGGAGGUAUCAGAAGUGAGAAUGCAGGAAUAAGUAGCGAGAAAGGGGGCGAGAAUCCCCCUCGCCGGAAGACCAAGGUUUUCAGGGUAAAGCUUGUCUUCCCUGAGUAAGCCGGGACCUAAGCCCAGGCUAUAAUGCGUAGGCGAAUGGAAAACAGAUUAAUAUUUCUGUGCCAGUCAUAUAUUGUGAUGGAGGGACGCAGAAGGGUAUGCGCGCGGACGAACGGAAGUGUCCGUAGAAGUAUGUAGGAUGACUUGAUAGGAAAAUCCAUUGAGUUAUAUCUGAGGUAUGAUAUACAGUCGUAAGAUGAAUGCGCAAAUCCCACGCUGCCAAGAAAAGCUUCUAACGUUAAUAUUUGACUGCCCGUACUGCAAACCGACACAGGUGGUCAGGAUGAGAAAUCUAAGGCGGACAGGCUAACUCUCGUUAAGGAACUCUGCAAAAUAACCUCGUAACUUCGGGAGAAGAGGAGCCCUUGAGGGUCAGUAUCCACGCGAUACAAAGCGCUCGAGGGUCGCAGUGAAGAGGCUCAAGCAACUGUUUAACAAAAACACAGGUCUAUGCUAAGCUGGAAGGCGAUGUAUAUGGGCUGACACCUGCCCAGUGCUGGAAGGUUAAGAGGAGGAGUGAGAGCUCCGAAUUGAAGCCCCAGUGAACGGCGGCCGUAACUAUAACGGUCCUAAGGUAGCGAAAUUCCUUGUC